rnacentral:rRNA from 1 species
GUGGGGAAUAUUGGACAAUGGGGGGAACCCUGAUCCAGCCAUGCCGCGUGUGUGAAGAAGGCCUUUUGGUUGUAAAGCACUUUAAGCGAGGAGGAGGCUACCGAGAUUAAUACUCUUGGAUAGUGGACGGUACUCGCAGAAUAAGCACCGGCUAACUCUGUGCCAGCAGCCGCGGUAAUACAGAGGGUGCAAGCGUUAAUCGGAUUUACUGGGCGUAAAGCGCGCGUAGGUGGCCAAUUAAGUCAAAUGUGAAAUCCCCGAGCUUAACUUGGGAAUUGCAUUCGAUACUGGUUGGCUAGAGUAUGGGAGAGGAUGGUAGAAUUCCAGGUGUAGCGGUGAAAUGCGUAGAGAUCUGGAGGAAUACCGAUGGCGAACGCAGCCAUCUGGCCUAAUACUGACACUGAGGUGCGAAAGCAUGGGGAGCAAACAGGAUUAGAAACCCGAGUAGUCC